rnacentral:lncRNA from 1 species
CUUUUUUUUGUAGUGAUAAUCCACCUCGGUCAUAUCGUAGCGGUGCUUAGACGAAGCCCUGCGUCGGUAGCAUCAUCAUCUCCGUCAUCACGCUGUCGUGCUGACGGAACUCUCCUUCGAAACUCUGCUGGAUCGGAGUUCGUGGGACGUCACCGAGCUGAAUGUGUGCUGAACUCGGAGGUGCCGUGCGUUCGGUACUUGGAUCAGUCAGAUCGUGAAGACGUACGACUACAUCAACCGCGUUCUCAUAACGCUUCCGCUUACGGUCUACGAGGGUAUGUGGACGACACGCUCCCCUCUUGUUGCUAUGCAUCACCAUGAUCUUGCGUGUGCGUAGGAAAAUUUUGAAAUUACUACGUUCCCCAACAGUGGCAUCCGAGCCAGGUUUAUGCGUAGAUGUUAUAUGCACGAGUAGAACACAAGUGAGUUGUGGGCGAUACAAGUCAUACUGCUUACCAGCAUGUCAUACUUUGAUUCGGCGGUAUUGUUGGAUGAAGCGGUCCGGACCGACAUUACGCGUACGCUUACGCAAGACUGGUUCUACCGACAUGCUUUCACACAGGUGGCUGGCGGGUGUCAGUUUCUCCAACUUUAUUUGAAUCGAGUGUGGCUACACCCGGUCCUUGUGAAGGUUAAAACAACACAUACUUGAUGAAAUAUCGUUGUGGUUUUGAUGCAUAGGUAAGAACGGUUCUUGCUCAGCCCAUAGCAGCCACGUAAAACUUGCAACAACAAAGUAGAGGACGUCUAACUUGUUUUUGCAGGGCAUGUUGUGAUGUGAUAUGGUGAAGACAUGAUGCUAAAUUUUAUUGUAUGAGAUGAUCAUGUUUUGUAAUCGAGUUAUCGGCAACUCGCAGGAGCCAUAUGGUUGUCGCUUUAUUGUAUGAAAUGCAAUUGCCAUGUAAUUGCUUUACUUUAUCACUAAGCGGUAGUGAUAGUCGUACAAGCAAUAGUUGGCGAGACGACAACGAUGCUACGAUGGAGAUCAAGGUGUCGCGCCGGUGACGAUGGUGAUCAUGACGGUGCUUUGGAGAUGGAGAUCAAAGGCACAAGAUGAUGAUGGCCAUAUCAUAUCACUUAUAUUGAUUGCAUGUGAUGUUUAUAUUUUAUGCAUCAUAUUUUGCUUAGAUCGACAGUAGCAUUAUAAGAUGAUCUCUCACUAAAUUUCAAGGUAUAAGUGUUCUCCCUGAGUAUGUACCAUUGUGGAAGUUCGUCGUGCCGAGACACCACGUGAUGAUCGGGUGUGAUAAGCUCUACGUUCACAUACAACGGGUGCAAGCCAGUUUUGCACACGCAGAAUACUCGGGUUAAACUUGACAAGCCUAGCAUAUGCAGAUAUGGCCUCUGAACACUUAGACCGAAAGUUCAAGCAUGAAUCAUAUAGUAGAUAUGAUCAACAUAGUGAUGUUCACCAUUGAAAACUACUCCAUCUCACGUGAUGAUCGGACAUGGUUUAGUUGAUAUGGAUCACGUGAUCACUUAGAUGAUUAGAGGGAUGUCUGUCUAAGUGGGAGUUCUUAAGUAAUAUGAUUAAUUAUACUUUAAUUUAUCAUGAACUUAGUACCUAAUAGUAUUUGCUUCUCUAUGUUGUUGUAGAUAGAUGACCCAUGAUGUCGUUAUGUUGAAUUUUAAUGCGUUCCUUGAGAAAGCAAAGUUGAAAGAUGAUGGUAGCAAUUACACGGACAGGGUCCGUAACUUGAGGAUUGUCCUUAUUGCUGCACAGAAGAAUUACAUCCUGGAAGCACCGCUAGGUGCCAAACCCGUUGUAGGAGCAACGCCAGAUGUUAUGAACAUCUCGCAGAGCAAAGCUGAUGACUACUCGAUAGUUCAGUGUGCCAUGCUUUACGGCUUAGAACUGGGACUUCAACGACGUUUUGAACGUCAUGGAGCAUAUGAGAUGUUCCAGGAGUUGAAGUUAAUAUUUCAAGAAAAUGCCCGAAUUGAGAGAUAUGAAGUCUCCAAUAAGUUCUACAGCUGCAAGAUGGAGGAAAAUAGUUCUGUAAGUGAGCAUAUACUCAAAAUGUCUGGGUAUAACAAUCACUUGAUUCAACUGGGGGUUAAUCUUCCUGCUGAUAGUGUCAUUGACAGAAUUCUUCAAUCACUGCCACCAAGCUACAAGAGCUUCGUGAUGAACUAUAAUAUGCAAGGGGUGGAUAAGACAAUUCCCGAGCUCUUCGCAAUGCCAAAGGCUGCGGAGGUAGAAAUCAAGAAGGAGCAUCAAGUGUUGAUGGUCAACAAGACCACCAGUUUCAAGAAAAAGGGUAAAGGGGAGAAGGGGAACUUCAAGAAGAACGGCAAGCAAGUUGCUGCUCAAGUGAAGAAGCCCAAGUCUGGACCUAAGCCUGAGACUAAGUGCUUCUACUACAAAGGGACUGGUCACUGGAAGCAGAACUGCCCCAAGUAUUUGGCGGAUAAGAAGGAUGGCAAGGUGAACAAAGGUAUAUGUGAUAUACAUGUUAUUGAUGUGUACCUUACUAAUGCUCGCAGUAGCACCUGGGUAUUCGAUACUGGUUCUGUUGCUAAUAUUUGCAACUCGAAACAGGGACUACGGAUUAAGCGAAGAUUGGCUAAGGACGAGGUGAUGAUGCGCGUGGGAAAUGGUUCCAAAGUCGAUGUAAUCGCGGUCGGCAUGCUACCUCUACAUCUACCUUCGGGAUUAGUUUGAUACCUGAAUAAUUGUUAUUUGGUGCUAGCGUUGAGCAUGAACAUUAUAUCUGGAUCUUGUUUGAUGCGAGAUGGAUAUUCAUUUAAAUCUGAGAAUAAUGGUUGUUCUAUUUAUAUGAGUAAUAUCUUUUAUGGACAUGCACCCUUGUAGAGUGGUCUACUUUUGAUGAAUCUCGAUAGUCGUGAUACACAUAUUCAUAAUAUUGAAGCUAAAAUAUGCAGAGUUGAUAAUGAUAGUGCAACUUAUUUGUGGCACUGCCGUUUAGGUCAUAUUGGUGUAAAGCGCAUGAAGAAACUCCAUUCUGAUGGACUUUUGGAAUCACUUGAUUAUGAAUCACUUGGUACUUGCGAACCAUGCCUCAUGGGCAAGAUGACUAAAACGUCGUUCUCCGGAACUAUGGAGCAAGCAACAGAUUUGUUGGAAAUCAUACAUACUGAUGUAUAUGGUCCAAUGAAUGUUGAGGCUCGCGGCGGGUAUCGUAAUUUUCUCACCUUCACAGAUGAUUUGAGAAGAUAUGGGUAUAUCUACUUGAUGAAACAUAAGUCUCAAACAUUUGAAAAGUUCAAAGAAUUUCAGAUUGAAGUGGAAAAUCAUCGUAACAAGAAAAUAAAGUUUCUACGAUCUGAUCAUGGAGGAGAAUAUUUGAGUUACGAGUUUGGUCUUCAUUUGAAACAAUGCGGAAUAGUUUCGCAACUCACGCCACCCGGAACACCACAGCUUAAUGGUGUGUCUGAACAUCGUAAUCGUACUUUACUAGAUAUGGUGCGAUCUAUGAUGUCUCUUACUAAUUUGCCGCUAUCAUUUUGGGGUUAUGCUUUAGAGAUGGCUGCAUUCACGUUAAAUAGGGCACCAUCUAAAUCUGUUGAGACGACGCCUUAUGAACUGUGGUUUGGCAAGAAACCAAAGUUGUCGUUUCUUAAAGUUUGGGGCUGCGAUGCUUAUGUGAAAAAGCUUCAACCUGAUAAGCUCGAACCCAAAUCAGAGAAAAGUGUCUUCAUAGGAUACCCAAAGGAGACUGUUGGGUACAUCUUCUAUCACAGAUCCGAAGGCAAGACAUUCGUUGCUAAGAAUGGAUCCUUUCUAGAGAAGGAGUUUCUCUCGAAAGAAGUGAGUGGGAGGAAAGUAGAACUUGAUGAGGUAACUGUACCUGCUCCCUUAUUGGAAAGUAGUUCAUCACAGAAAUCUGUUCCCAUGACUCCUACACCAAUUAGUGAGGAAGCUAAUGGUGAUGAUCAUAUGACUUCAGAUCAAGCUACUACUGAACCUCGUAGGUCAACCAGAGUAAGAUCUGCACCAGAGUGGUACGGUAAUCAUGUUCUGGAGGUCAUCUUACUAGACCAUGACGAACCUAUGAACUAUGAGGAAGCGAUGAUGAGCCCAGAUUCCGCAAAAUGGCUUGAGGUCAUGAAAUCUGAGAUGGGAUCCAUGUAUGAGAACAAAGUGUGGACUUUGGUUGACUUGCCCGAUGAUCGGCAAGCCGUCGAGAAUAAAUGGAUCUUCAAUAAGAAGACUCAUGUUGAUGGUAAUGUUACUGUCUACAAAGUUCGACUUGUUGUGAAAGGUUUUUGACAAGUUCAAGGAGUUGACUACGCUGAGACUUUCUCACCCGUAGCGAUGCUUAAGUCCAUCCAAAUCAUGUUAGCAAUUGCCACAUUUUAUGAUUAUGAAAUUUGGCAAAUGGAUGUAAAGACUGCGUUCCUGAAUGGAUUUAUGGAAAAAGAGUUGUAUAUGAUGCAACCUGAAGGUUUUAUCGAUCCAAAGGAUGCUAACAAAGUGUGCAAGCUCCAACGAUCCAUCUAUGGACUGGUGCAAGCAUCUCGGACUUGGAAUAAACGUUUUGAUAGUGUGAUCAAAGCAUAUGGUUUUAUACAGACUUUUGGAGAAGCCUGUAUUUACAAGAAAGUGAGUGGGAGCUCUGUAGCAUUUCUAAUAUUAUAUGUGGAUGACAUAUUGUUGAUUGGAAAUGAUAUAGAAUUUCUGGAUAGCAUAAAAGGAUACUUGAAUAAGAGUUUUUCAAUGAAAGACCUCGGUGAAGCUGCUUAUAUGUUGGGCAUCAAGAUCUAUAGAGAUAGAUCAAGACGCCUCAUUGGACUUUCACAAAGCACAUACCUUAAUAAAGUUUUAAAGAAGUUCAAAAUGGAUCAAGCAAAGAAAGGGUUCUUGCCUAUGUUAUAAGGUGUGAAGUUGAGUCAGACUCAAUGCCCGACCACUGCAGAAGAUAGAGAGAAAAUGAAAAAUGUUCCCUAUGCUUCAGCCAUAGGCUCUAUCAUGUAUGCAAUGUUGUGUACCAGACCUGAUGUGUGUCUUGCUAUUAGUUUAGGGGGAGGUACCAAAAUAAUCCAGGAGUGGAUCACUGGACAGCGGUCAAGAACAUCCUGAAAUACCUGAAAAGGACUAAGGAUAUGUUUGUAACACCCACAAUGCGGCUAUAUCUCCCACGUGUCGGGGCACGACUUAGAGGCAUAGCCGCAUGGUAGGCUUAUCGCAAGAGGGGUAAUCUGUAGAGAAAAUUCCUUAUUUGACACUAUCUUAAAAUCUGUUUCCUUAUUUGACACUGGAAAAGUUUUUCUUCCCUAUUUGACACAAGUUCUAAAUUUUAUUCCCUAUAUGACAUUUCCGUCCAUUUUGAGCCUAAAUGACACAUGAAAAGAUUCUUUUGCCCCUCAUGUGGUAUGUGUGUGAGGGGCAAUAGCGCACGCACGCAGCAUCAGUGCGAGGGAAAGAGAACACACGCAGCAACACAUACACAUGUACCAACACACACGCACGCGCGCACACACGCAACAACACGCACGCGCACGUGCACACACACACACGCAACAACAUGCACGCGCACGUGCACACACACACACGCACACACGCGGCAACACACAUGCACGCGCACACACACGCAGCAACACACACGCACACAGCACACACACAUACACACACACGCAGCAGCAGCACACACACAGGCAACACAUAGGCACGCAACAACACACACACACACGCGCGCGCACGUACACACGCAGUAGCAAACACACACUACAGCACACAUGCACACACACACAUGUGCGCGUGCACCCACACACGCAACAGCACACACGUGCGCGCACACACAUACCGCAUGAGGGGCAAAAUCGUCUUUUCAGGUGUCAUUUAGGCUUAAAAUGGACAGAAGUGUCGUAUAGGGAAUAAAAUUUAGGACUAGUGUCAAAUAGGGAAGAAUAACUUUUCCAGUGUCAAAUAAGGAACCAGAUUUUAAGACAGUGUCAAAUAAGGAAUUUUCUCUAAUUCUGUACACAUCCCAUGUACUGAAUAAGAAAGGGAUAAAGAGUUGGCUUACAAUCGCCACUUCACACAAUACAUAAAUAAUUCAUACAUCAUCCAAAGUACAAUCAAAGGUACGACUAUGGAACCAAAAUAAAAGAAGACAACCCCAAAUGAUAGAUCCCCGAUCGUCCCAACUGGGCUCCACUACUGAUCAUCAGAAAAAGAAACAUAAUAACGACCCAAGUCUUCGCCAAAUUCCCACUUGAGUUCGGUAGCAUCACUUGCACUGGUAUCCUCGGCACCUGCAACUAUUUGGAAGUAUCCAUGAGUUAUGGUGACUCGGCAAUCUCACACCCGUGAGAUCAAGACUAUUUAAGCUUAUGGGUAGGAAAGGGUAAUGAGGUGGAGCUGCAGCAAGCGCUAAGCAAAUAUGGUGGCUAACAUACGCAAAUAAGAGCAAGAAGAGAAGCAACGCAACGGUCGAGAAGCUAGAAGUGAUCAAGAAGUGAUCCUGAAACUGCUUACGUUCAAACAUAACUCCAAAACCGUGUUCACUUCCCGGACAUCCGCCGAAAAGAGACCAUCACGGCUACACACGCGGUUGAUGUAUUUUAAUUAAGUUAAGUGUCAAGUUCUCUACAACCGGACAUUAACAAAUUCCCAUCUGCCACAUAAUCGCGGGCACGGCUCUCGAAAGUUUAUACCCUGCAGGGAUGUCCCAACUUAGCCCAUCACAAGCUCUCACGGUCAAUGAAGGAUAUUCCUUCUCCCAGGAAGACCCAAUCAGUCUCGGAAUCCCAGUUACAAGACAUUUCGACAAUGGUAAAACAAGACCAGCAAAGCCGCCCGAUGUGCCAAGAAUCCCGAUAGGAGCUGCACAUAUCUCGUUCUCAGGGCAACACCGGAUAAGAAAUCCGUACAACUAAAACCAACCCUCAAGUUUCCCCGAGGUGGCGCUGCAAGGGGCUCUAGUUCAGACCAACACUUAGAGAAGCACUGGCCCGGGGGGGUUAAAAUAAAGAUGACCCUCGGGUCUGCAGAACCCAAGGGAAGGUAUAGGUUGUUAGGGAAAUGUAAAACCAAGGUUGGGCCUUGCUGGGGGAGUUUUAUUCAAAGCGAACUGUCAAGGGGUUCCCAUAACACCCAACCGCAUUAGGAACGCAAAAUCAAGGAACAUAAAACCGGAACGACGGAAACUAGUGCGGCAAGAGUGGAACAAAACACCAGGCAUAAGGUCGAGCCUUCCACCCUCUACCAAGUGUACAGAUGCAUUAAUUAAAUAAGAGAUAAGUGAUAUCCCAACAUAUCCAUGUACCAACAUGGAACAAACUUCAACUUCACCUGCAACUAGCAACGCUAAAAGAGGGGCUGAGAAAAAGCGGUAACUUAGCCAAAUAACAGUUUGCUGAGAAGGUGGGUUAGAUGAUUGACAUGGCAAUAUGGGAGGCAUGAUAUAACAAGUGGUAGGCAGCGCAACAUAACAAUAGAGCGAACAACUAGCAAGCAAAGAUAGAAGUGAUUUCGAGGGUAUGAUCAUCUUGCCUGAGAUCCCGCAAGGGAGAAGAACGAGUCCAUGAAGAAGACAAACGGAUGUAGUCGAACGAAUCCUCACACCUCCGGAACGAAACCGAAGCUUCGGAGCGUGCGUUUUCGAAGCGCAUCGAGUUCGUCAAGGGAAGUAGUCGUUCACGGCCAUCGUGGAAGUCACGGUACAGGUUCGGGAAGCGGUAGAGAUACUGGUCUUCGACAACGGUCGUCGUACACGUUCCGAGGUCGUGGGUAGAGUUUCUCGCGAUCUCGGCGACGGUAGUGGAAGUAGAUGUUCAUGGCGACGGCAGUAGAAGUAGUGGUAUUAUCGGUCCUCGACAGUAGUGGUACACGUUUCGAAGAGGAACUUGACGAAUCCGGGUAACUUGGGGGUCGACGGUAGUCGUUCACGUUCAUAGUUGCACGAGUUUCUGUAGAUGUUCAGAGUCAUGGUAAGGAACUUGACGCAUCGUUGAACUUGGCGUCCGAGGAAUCCCGCGUAGUACACGAGUCGUAGUCGAACUUGACGGUUCCGUUACACGGUUCUUUGUAGAAGAUAGUCGUACACGGAUCUUCAGCCACGGUAGUUGUACACACGUUCAGAGAGAAACUCGGCAUAACCAAGUACUUGGCGUUCUGGUGUGGUAGUCGUACUUGCGGUCUUGACGGUACAACACGAAACAACACAAGGGUCAGCAGCAAGGAGGCGAUGGUGGUGGUCGAACGAGGCAGGGGCCAGGGGCAGCGAAGCAACAGCAACGUGCGGGCACCGAUGGGCGCCAUGGCCGUGAGGAGGAGGGGCUCUGCACGAGACCAGCAGCGAGGCAUGCAGGCGUGCCGGUGGAUGCAGAGGGUCGCCGGUCAGCGGAGGUACGAUGGUGCGCCGGUAGCAGGAGGCGAAGGCGAAGUGGCUGGCGUCGGCCUUGGCGCGAAGCAAGGAGGCGGAGCUCCUGCUCGAGCAGAGGGCUCGGGCGUGGGUCUUGAGGUGCCGGAGACGGGAACGGGACCCUGCUGGCGGGAUCCGGCCGGGAACGGGCGAGGACGGCGGAGGCCGGUCGGAUCAGGUGGUGGAGACGAGGAACUCCGGCAGGGACGGCGGCAAGGUCACGGGGUCGGGCGCCGCGCCAUGGAGAGGCGACCAAAGGGCAGGAGGCACGGACGCCAAGGCAAGGCGAGCGCAGCGCUGCGUGUGGGGCUGGGAGGCCGCGCAUAGGAGGGGAUGAGGGAGAGGGGCGAUGGGAGAUGGGGAACGAGCGCAGGGGAGCUCCUCUCCCUGGCGAUGCGAGGCGGCGGCAUGAGGAUGGAGGGGAUCGAGGGAGAGAACGAGAGGAGGAGGUCGGGGCUCGAGGCGUAGGAUUAGGAAGGCAGGGGCCGGCUGGGCCUAAAGGGGCAAAUGGGCCGGUGCUGGUGGUUGGGAGGUUGGGAGGCCCAGGUGGCCCGAUAGGCUGGUUGGGCUCCUCUCUCUCUCUCUGUUGUUCUUCUUAUCCAUUUAUAAGAUAUAAAUGGAACUUGCAUAAAUACACAGAGAGGUAGCAGUGGAAUUAGGGAGAGACAAAAAUAGUUCUGGAGUCCUUGGAAUAUGGCCAAUUAAAGAAAAGUGGUGUGAGGAUUUUACAGACUAUAAAUUUAAACAUGUUUGAAUUUAAUCCAAACUUGCAUGAAUUUAUAACUAACCAAACCGAACCCAAGUGGGCUUAAUUUUUAUAGGAUGGCCCUACAUAAUAGAUAUGAUUUAUGGGCACAAGAUGAACAUUUAUAGAGGAAGUAAGAAAACCAAACAUAAUGAAUUGAGUUCAAUAUGUUGAAUUCGAAAACCCUAUCAAUGAGUUCUGGUUGGGACAAAAUUUUACAGGGUGGCUGGACAUAUAAAACUUGCAUUAAGAAGAGGGUUUGGGUAAGAAUUGGAGAAGUGGAAAUGCAACUCAAAUAGAGGAAGAGCAGGGAACGAAGGAAGUAGCACUUUGGGAUUUGGAAACUUGGGCUAAACCAAGUUAAAGUUGAGCAAUGAGUAAAAUACAAAGGAUCAAAGAGAAGGAGUUGCAAUACACAUGAUGCUCAUGGCAACAUGAAUGACCAAAUGCAAUAUGACAAGAGAUAUGCAUGGCAAUGCAAUAUAACCGAUGAUGAACAUGAUGCAAGAAGCAUAAUAUGACAAUGGGACUCAUCAUGAUUAUGGCAUAAACAUAUAGAAAUGAAAUAUGCAAAAACAUUAUGAUAAUGCAACAAACAUAGCAAACACACGACAACAACUAAGAUAAAAGGAAAGCAUCUAGAGCAUCGGUCUUGGGGCGUCACAAUGUUUCUCGUUUAUGGAGGUGACAAAGAGAUCGUCGUAAAUGAUUACGUCAAUGCAAGCUUUGACACUGAUCCGGAUGACUCUAAGUCACAAACCGGAUACGUAUUUAUAUUGAACGGUGGAGCUGUCAGUUGGUGUAGUUCUAACCAAAGCAUCAUGGCGGGAUAUACGUGUGAAGCGGAGUACAUAGCUGCUUCGGAAGCAGCAAAUGAAGGAGUCUGGAUGAAGGAGUUCAUAUCCGAUUUAGGUGUCAUACCUAGUGCAUCGGGUCCAAUGAAAAUCUUUUGUGACAAUACUGGUGGAAUUGCUUUGGCAAAGGAAUUCAGAUUUCACAAAAGAACCAAGCACAUCAAGAGAUGCUUCAAUUCCAUCCGUGACCAAGUCAAGGAGGGAGACAUAGAGAUUUGCAAGAUACAUACGGAUCUGAAUGUUGCAGACCCAUUGACUAAGCCUCUCUCACAAGCAAAACAUGAUCAGCACCAAGACUCCAUGGGUGUUAGAAUCAUUAUUGUGUAAACUAGAUUAUUGACUCUAGUGCAAGUGGGAGACUGGAGGAAAUAUGCCCUAUAGGCAAUAAUAAAGUUGUUAUUUAUAUUUCUUUAUAUUAUGAUAAAUGUUUAUUAUUCAUGCUAGAAUUGUAUUAACCGGAAACUUAGUACAUGUGUGAAUAUAUAGACAAACUAAGUGUCACUAGUAUGCCUCUACUUGACUAGCUCGUUGAAUCAAAGAUGGUUAAGUUUCCUAGCCAUAGACAUGAGUUGUCAUUUGAUUAACGGGAUCACAUCAUUAGAGAAUGAUGUGAUUGACUUGCCCAUUCCGUUAGCUUAGCACUCGAUCGUUUAGUAUAUUGCUAUUGCUUUCUACAUGACUUAUACAUGUUCCUAUGACUUUGAGAUUAUGCAAUUCCUGAAUAUCGGAGGAACACCUUGUGUGCUACCAAAUGUCACAACAUAACUGGGUGAUUAUAAAGUGCUCUACAGGUGUCUCCGAAGGUACUUAUUGGGUUGGCAUAGAUUGAGAUUAGAAUUUGUCAUUCCGAUUGUCAAAGAGGUAUCUCUAGACCCUCUCGGUAAUGCACAUCACUAUAAGCCUUACAAGCAAUGCAACUAAUGAGUUAGUUGCAGGAUGAUGUAUUACCAAACGAGUAAAGAGACUUGCCGGUAACGAGAUUGAACUAGGUAUUAAGAUAUCGACGAUCGAAACUCGGGCAAGUAACAUACCGAUGACAAAGGGAACAACGUAUAUCGUUAUGUGGUUUGACCGAUAAAGAUCUUCGUAGAAUAUGUGGGAGCCAAUAUGAACAUUCAGGUUCCGUUAUUGGUUAUUGACCGGAAACGUGUCUCGGUCAUGCCUACAUAGUUCUUGGCCCCAUAGGGUCCGCACGUUUAACGUUCGGUGACGAUCGGUAAUAUGAGUUUAUGUGUUUUGAUGUACCGAAGGUAGUUCGGAGUCCCGGAUAUGAUCACGGACAUGACUAGGAGUCUCGAAAUGGUCAAAACAUAAAGAUUGAUAUAUUGGAAGCCUAUAUUUGGACAUCGGAAUAGUUCCGGGUGAAAUCGGGAUUUUACCGGAGUGUCGGGGGGUUACCGAAACCCCCCGGGGGUUAAUGGGCCUUGCUGGGCCCUAGUGGAGAGAGAGAGGGGCCGGUCAGGGCAGGCCGCGCGCCCCCUCCCCUUGAGUCCGAAUAGGACAAGGAAAGGGGGGCGGCACCCCCCUUGCCUUUCCCCUCUCCCACUCCUUCCCUCCCCCUUCUAGUGAGACUAGGAAAGGGGAGUCCUACUCCCACUAGGAGGAGGACUCCUCCUCUUGGCGCGCCCUGCUAGGGCCGGCCGGCCUCCCCCCUUGCUCCGUUAUAUACGGGGGCAGGGGGCAUCCCAUGACACACAAGUUGAUCAGUUGAUCUUUUAGCCGUGUGCGGUACCCCCCUCCAUCAUAAUCCACCUCGGUCAUAUCGUAGCGGUGCUUAGGCGAAGCCCUGCGUCGGCAGCAUCAUCAUCUCCGUCAUCACGCCAUCGUGCUGACAAAACUCUCCUUCGAAGCUCUGCUGGAUCGGAGUUCGUGAGUCGUCACUGAGCUGAACGUGUGCUCAACUCGGAGGUGCCGUGCGUUCGGUACUUGGAUCGGUCAGAUCGUGAGGACGUACGACUACAUCAACCCCGUCUCAUAACGCUUCCGCUUACGGUCUACGAGAGUACAUGGACGACACUCUCUCCUCUCGUUGCUAUGCAUCACCAUGAUCUUGCAUGUGCGUAGGAAUUUUUUUAAAUUACUAUGUUACCCAACACAUGCAUACCAAAUAGGGGGCCAAAGUCGACAGCGGUAAUUUGGGGCAUGAAGUCCUCGUGGUUACCCCUGGCAUGGGAGAACCUUUCUUGAGACGCUGGUGCCGCUUGCUUCCUAACACGUGGAAAUAGCAAGCAUGAUAACUGCAUGUUGUCAAGCUCAUAGCUUCACAUAAGCAAAUAGGUAGCAAGUUGGAAGCAUGUGUUGGAGGUGACAUGGCCACAACAUCAAGGUUUAGAUAAGCAAAGAGGAAGCAUGUUGCAUAAUAUUUAUGAUUAAGGAUUUUACCACAUACAAUUUUUAUGAUUACAUGGAAGCAAAUUAUUUUCUUAUAGUGGGAGCAAAUGUUUUUUCUUUAGAUGCAUAUUACCAACUGGGUUGAAGCAUAUGCAUAAUCAUAUGAUGAAACUAAUUCCCUUUUUUCACUCAAAAAUGGUAAUAAUUAUGUUUUUGAUGGAAAUAAAGUUGUAUCACGUUGGAAGCAACAGUCUCGUUGAUGGAAACAAUAUCAUGACCUGGUUUUGUAGAACUUGUUUCCCACUAAAUUUGUGAUAAAAAUAUAUUAAAUUUAAGCACAAUUUAUUAAGUGUGGAAACAAAUUCUCUUAUCGAUGGAAACAUAAUGUGCUUCGUGGUUUUCUUAUGCUUCACCCACGGGUUCAUGUCGCUCCUGGCGACGCCUUCAUGUUUUUGUUUGUGUACACUGGGCGCAAAUACAAUCGAACUAGAUCGAAGCGAUCGUCGGUUGUUGUGGAAGCAAAUAUUUUGGCUGGCCGAAGCAAACAAAUUCUAUCCAGAUGGAAGAAAUCUACAUUGGCAAACAAAUUCUAACCAGACGGAAGCAAUCUCUAUUUUCCAUGGAAGCAAGCAAUUUCCGAGGCCGGCAGAAAAAACAAGAUCAUGUGUACGAGACAAGUAUAGAAGCAAAUCACAUGCAUGGAAAGUUGGAAACAGAUAGCAAGACGCCUAAUCAAUUUGAUAUGCCAUGAUUUAUAGGAGUAGUUGUUAGGAAAUAAACAGAUCGUAAUUACUUCCUCCUUUUCGGUUUAUAGGGCUCAAUUCAAAAAUCUCACCAACCAAGGUAGAUUGUGAGUGGUGGAAUACUUUUUGUAAUUUACAAAAGCACCCAAUUAAUGCUCUUGCUUUCCUAAAAAUUUAUGUUUACCAAUGUAUUGCAAUGCAUGCAUGCAUAAAGUACAUGCAUUGGUCAAUUUUCUUUUAAUACUUGCAUGCAAUUAUUUAACGCAUCUUGGAAUCUGAACUUGUGAUGAGGAACAAUCAAAUUGAGUCUUAUAAAAUGGAAAAACUAAAAUUUUAAGAUAAGCCUUAUAAACCGAAAAGAAGGGAGUAGUACAAAAUCAUGCAUGCGAUAUAAUUAAGGGGUGCACAUUUUAAGGAAGCAAUAGACACACCACUGCAUCACGUGAGGGGGCUCCCAGAUCCGGUGGCUAUCAUGCAUCCCAUCAUACGGUCUAUCACUAGUCUGAUAAAAUGCAACGAUCAGUAAUCUGAUACCUAGCGGCUCCCUUUAAAAAUUGCACUAGCUUGUAUUGGUUCUUCCAUGUCUUCAAGCAAUGCAAAUUUUAUGAAUAUUGUGUGUAACUUGUAUAUAAUGAAUUAUAUGGUUCAUUUUGUUUUUACUAUGACUUGUUUAUUUUUAUUUUUCUACAAAGGUAGGUCAAGUCCAGGAAUUUUAUCUAUUAUAGAUAAAAUGUAUCUCUUCUAAAAGAUAGAUAAUUUUUUUCAACUAAUAUAUGCUCAUCUUUUUUUUAUUAUGUAGGUUGUCUUUUUAUGAUUUUGGAUUACCUUUGUAGGCAGGGAAAUUUUUGUUUUUGCCACUCUAGAUUUUGCCAAUUUUCCUUAUGCCACUUUAGAUUUUGACAUUUCACUUUUACCAUUCUUAGUUUUUGACAAUUAUCACAAUUGCCAUUCCCGUGGCAAAAGCAAAAUGUUGAGAGUGGCAAUUGUGAUAAUUGUCAAAAGCUAAGAGCAGCAAAAAUGAAAUAAAAUUAUUUUGCUUUUGCCACAGAAUGGCAAUUGUGAUAAUUGUCAAAAUCUAAGAGUGGCAAAAGUGAAAUGUCAAAAUCUAGAGUGGCAUAAGAAAAAUUGACAAAAUCUAGAGUGGCAAAAACAAAAUUUUCCCUACUUGUAGGCAUGCUAUGAAUGAAAAAAUCCAUAUGUUUUUGAACACGAUACAAUUGAAAUCGCUCACAUACACGAGCAUACGUUCACUCAUAUAAAGGCACGCACACACACCCUACCCUUAUGAGCACCUCUGAGAGACUGAGAUUGACAAAGUCACCAACAACACCUUCAGUGUCGACGGGAGCGUCUCCUCCCACUAAACGCACAUCGCCGAAAGACCUGAAAUAAAUUCAGGAAAAUGCGAGCACCAAUAUCAAGUCUAGGACUUGUGCUGGUGAUAUCACUGUCCUCCUAACCAUCAAACCAUUGGUUGAUUCACAAACAACAACAAAAACAUAUUCAGUCAAAAACAAGGAAAUUUUGAUUGAUAAAGUUAGAAAAGUUGCUAAUUCCAUUGCCCCCAAUGCAAUCUAGCCAUGUUUAGUAAAAUGUAUCUUUUGUGUGUGUGCUUAUUGGCGUAGUUCGUUCUUGAGUGUUGGAGCUGGUAAAAAACAAUUGUAAAAGCUUGAUUUACUACUAAAAUGAAAAGAACAAAAUAGCAUUUGUCAUAUGCAAAUCCAAUAGCUAGACUAAAACUGACUAGGUUUUAAAAAGAUCGGGUAACUUCUUUUGAACUUCGGCGAGUUUAUCUAAUUAAUAAUCAUAUGCUUUACAAUAAGCGGAAUAAGGAAAUCAGGGAGUUUAUCAUGCCACACCCUUGACUCCUGACCCAAAAAACUAAAACGAGCAUAGUAUGAGCACACUCAUUUACAUCACGCACACAAUGAUUUAUCAUCGCCUUGCCGAAAGAACUCAACAACCUUUCGACAUCGGGUAACUUAGUACCCCUCCUUGUCUCAAAAAAAAAAAACUUGGUACCCCUCCGUUUCUGAAAAGAACGCCUAUAAAUAUUAGCAGGUCAUCCCCUGCUAAAUGGACUUGUGGCCCAUUGGUACGUCUGCUAUGACCCACACUGCCUAAACAGAUUUGCGGCCCAUUGUACGUUUGCUCACUUUCAACUCAGUAUGCUCGACUUUCUCACAUGCACCCGAAUGAACAGUAAAUUAAGAAAAAAAUAUCAAUUAUUUUUUAACUUUUGUGUGAUUAACAUGUUUCAUCUGCGUGCAAAGUUUAAUCAUUUAUAACGCUAUGUGCAACAAUAACAUAAUGGAUGCUCCAAAAAAUUGUUUCUGAAAACAUUUUAGUGUACCAAUUUUGUUCUUUUUUGCUAGACUGCUAUGAAUGCCAUUACAUCACAAAAAAUUGCACAUAGGUAGAAAGCAAAGGAAUGUUUGUUACCAUAAAAAUAAAAAUGAAUUGUUUGCCAUCUUUGUGGAUUUUACUAUUCAUGGUAGGAGCAUUUGAGCUUGGGAAAUAGAAUGACACAUUAAGAGUGAAAUGUUGUCACGGGAUCAUAUCAUGUGGAGAACUGAACUAAGCUCGGAGUCUUUCGACAAAAUAGAUUCACAUACCAGCUGACAGAUACUGAAUGGGCAACGAGCUGCCCAUACAAGCAGCAAAUCCCGCGUAGAUUUAAUUUCCUUCGGAAGAAAACCCAUAAAGAACUGCUAAUCAGCAGCAAAUAUCACAGAAAUAUCAAGUCCAGAUUACCAGCACAUACAAACCAUCCAGAUUACCAGCACAUACAAACCAUCCAGAUUACCAGCACAUACAUAAACCAUCUACUAAACGAGAGCAGAUAGGAGUGACAGAGAUGGAAUCAACAUAUAUGAAUCAAGGGGUGCCCAGCUCGGAUCAGAUACAGAGUUGAAUGAAACAGGCCAAAAGAAUGAUGUAUAGUACAAUGCCGUCACAGCCUCAGCAGGGGAGCACUAAUCAACACGCUCCAAUCACAGAAAGCAAUACAACGAAUGGGUGAUCACCAUUACACGGAUGCAGCUGGAUAAGCCAACCAAAUCAACACGUAAAUCCCUUCCUCUGUGUUGAGAGGAGCGUUGGUCAGAAAAAUCAAGUCAGUUUUUGUACAAACAUCUCCUCUCUGUCUUCCUAGCUACAAAGGAGGAGCAUCAUGCCUUUGGAUGGUCUCCAAAAUCAGCUCCCUACGAAAAAGGCUUGCUUCAUUCCAGUGAUAUGUCGGAACGAGCAGGAACUACAAACCUAAUAAUCUCUGGGGAUCCCAAUGCUGAUGCUGACAGGAGAGACUGGGUGGAGGUUACAAAGGUUCAAGCUUGCCAGUAGGCCGAAGGUUGCAUCGUAGGAUACCUGGCCUGCACAAAUCACCAAACAAAGAUGACAUCAUAUUUCAGAAUGGUUCUCAACUAUUUUGCUUGUUAUUUUUCAGUCACUUGCACACACAAGUGUUAAAUACUGUGCCAGCUACUAUAACUGCUUACUGAAUUCUGAAAAGGAUGCCAAAGCCAGCUCCCAGUUAAUUUCUGUCCACUCCAUAAUUUUCAAUAGGAAGUCGUAACUUUUUCAUAGAGCCAAACCAAAGCAGAAAUGUAUGGCAAUAUAUGAUUAUAUAUGCAAGGACAUCCCACAAAUUAUACUGCUGAACUAACACUCGUGGGAUAAAAAGGACAUGCUAGCCUGACGAGUUAUUAGUAAAAGCAGCAUCAACACUCGAGCACAAACAGCUUACUCUGCUACAUGCAGAACGUACAAGGCCUACAGGGGUGCCUAACUACCUAAGGAUAGAACUGACCUAUUGGUUUCUAGCGCCACCAAAUCUUCUGAUGCUACCAAAAAGUUAUUGAAAGUUCUAUUUUAUUUUAGAUUGUACUCCCUCUGUAAAGAAAUAUAAGAGCGUUUAGAUAACUAAAGUAGUGACCUAAAUGUUCUUAUAUUUCUUUAUGGAGGGAGUAUUAAUUUGUAACAUAAUCUAGCAUGCUACAAAAAUUAAAAAUUAAAAAGGGCAGCCCAGUGCACGUAACUCCCGCUUGCGCAGGGUGCGGGGAAGGGUCCGACCACUUUUUGUCUUUUGUAUGCAGCCUUUCCCUGCAUUUCUGCAAGAGACUGUUUCCAGGACUCAACCUGUGACCUGAUGGUAACAAGGAACAGCUUCACCGCUGCGCCAAAUGCUACAAAAAUCAAACUCAAACAGAACACAUGUAACAAGCAACAUAAAGGAGAAAUUCUGCUGUCAAUAGUACCUCCCUCCCUCAAUCUCUCCAGGAUACUGUCAUUUGAGUUGCAUAACCAUGAGUUUGAUCCUUUAGGUAAGGAAUCAUACAGAGAUAAGAAAAGUAGGAACUUAGUCACUAAUCUUCAUAUAGGUAUAGGCCAACUCUCUUCGUGUGUUUACUGUGCCAUUGAUAAAAGAACAAAGCAUGCCUAGACAGGCGUUUAAUGUGCGCAUAAUUGCACUCAAGACGCAUGCCUAGUGCCUUUUCCCACUUAAACUCACACAACUUUCAUGCAGUGUCGCUGAUGCAGCCAACAUAGAAUGUUCUCUCUCUUAAUAAUCAAGUACUAGCACAUUUCUAAUUUCUAAGAAGUUGGUCAAAAUACUACUGUACCUGUUUUGGUCUUAACCCACAACAGAGAGUAAUCAGGAUUAUGCUUACUGUCAUCAGAAACCCAACAACAGAGAGUAAUCAUGACUAUGCUUACUACCAUCGGAAACCCCCUAAACCCUGGCUAUUGCUCAAAAUUUCUUCUCAUCGCUGACAAACAUUAGGGCACAAUAAUCCAGGCGCCCUUAGUUUAAAAGCAGGCUGUGACGCAUAUCAACACAUAAAACUCCCAAUCUAAAGUUUCUACCAUACGACAUGUAGUGCAAAGUCUACAUAAGAUUAUUUACUACAGUUGGGUAUCCUUGUCUGACUUUCAGGUAACCACAACAGACGUGCGCUGCAUUGCCUAGAACAAACUGGUGUGGGCUCAAUCUCAUUUGAUUAUGUUCAGUUUAAAUGAAACUCCCAAGCAAGUAAGGAACUGAUAGCCAGCAGCAAUUAUCACAAGUGAAACAUUUCAACAUACCUCAAGAGUCCACAAAUUGGAGAUCCACCGUCAAACUGAAAUGAUCAUAGAUCCCUUCUCCCACACUCCAGCUCGCCAUAAUGCAACUCCAUUCUGGGCACUGCACUUCUUCCACCAACCAUAUUAAAUCUGGGGCAGUUCCUGUGGGUUAUCCAUUGAUGCCCUCAAUAUCAUCCCAGCCCUCCGCUUCCGGUCAUCCUUUUGUUCCUCCUUCAAAAACGACGGGUCCUCCCUCAGAUCCAUGGAAUUUGAAUUGAGGGCCACUGCCAGGGGCUUCUUGUUUACUCCAAUCUUCAGGUGCACUGGUGCCCUCACCUUUGGAACAAUGCUCUUUUGGUUCUGAUUCUGGUCCCAACCUGUCCCAGAAUCAAGCUCCAUAGCAUUUGCACCCUGAAUUGCUGGUGCAAAUGCAUCAAGGACAGAAAGUUUCUUCCGCUCAGAAGGGAUAUCAACCUCUGACACCUCCUUGUCUCCAUGCGGCAAAGCAGGCUCAAGAAAAGGAUUUCUCUUGCUCCCAGCCGGUUGUAUCUCCUUCCCUUUGGCUGCACUAUCCUCAGAAACCGCUGGCCGAAACCCAUCAGCGCCCGCAAGGGCCAAUCGUUGCUGCAAACUGAGCAGCGACUUCUCGGCCUUCCUCCGCUGCCGCACCUGUUCGACCAUGUCCACCCUGUCCUUGGCCGCCUGCUCACUCCACACCUCUGUCCUGACGUAGGUGUGUGGGUCCGGGAAGGCCGGUAGCCACUCAGGAACAUGCCUCAUCCCAGUCUCCCUCUCAGCCACAGCAAAGCUGGGCGUGGGCUGCGGAGCGCGGGGUAUAGGGAACUUGGGCAAUGGACGCGUGAAUGGCACCUCGUCCUUGGAGUCGACGAACGCCAUGAGGUCCUUGACGACGCCUGAGCCAACGAGGCAGCGGCCUGAGGUGCCGGCCCCGGCGAAGCCAUCAAAGUCGGUGCCGAUUUCCUCGAGGGACUGGAUGAUGUCGUACUCGUUGGCGAGCGCGCGGCCGGCGAGGUUGGCGUGGAAGGCCGCGGCCCUCCCGAGGUGCGUGAGGUAGCGGAGGAGGACGUCGACGAGCGCGUCCACGGCCGAGCGGUGCGUGCAGUCGAAGCCCGCGGCCUCGAGCGCCUGCGCCACCGCCGCCCGCGCCACCGCCCUCCCGAACUCGUCCCCGCUGCCGCUGCCGCUGCCGCUGGUGCCCGCGCGGUCACUCAUACUGCUCCCUCUUGUCCUCCCGCCGCUCCCGACCGGUCAUACCGUCGAGCACCUGGCGGGCGUGGCGGUCCCAGAUCCGGAGCUAGGGUUAGAUCUCUGCUCGGGCCACGCCGUCCGCGCCACCAUCCAGGGCGAGCCGGGGCGAGCUAGACGCAGCCGCGCGCCGGAAUUGCGCGCCCGACCGCCCGCCUCGAGCUCGCGCCCCCGGCGGGAUUCGAAUUCGGUCGGCGCGAGACGACGCGGUGGCUGGGGGCGGGGAUUGGGCGGGAAAUCGGGAGCGGGGUGGGUUUGGAAGCAGGAGACCGUUGGGGAUUUAGGGUUUGGGGAGGGGAGCACGCGCGGGGGGUUUGGGUGGGGCUCUCUCUGAUCCGAGCACGCGGGCGGGGAAGCGAGGGGAGGUGGAGACGAAGGCCUUGGGGAGAAGGGAAGAACGCGUCCGCUUGACUUUAUAGAGGAGGGCGUGUGGAAAUCCCGUGUGCGCGAGCCGGGUGCGCGGAGCUCGGCGGGGACACGUGGCGAUGGACGGUUGGUUUCGCCUCGUGGAUUCUUUCCAGCGUGGACGCCGUGUUCUCCACGACGGGGUUCUGUUGCUCGGGCCUCCGCAGAGGAAGGCGGCCCAACUGGCCCAGUUACAAGUGAAAUAUGCCAAAGGACAACACUAAAAUAGUACAGACAUUUGCCUCAAAAAAAUAAAAAUAGUACAGACAUAAACUGGAAAAUAAAAACUAGAUUCCUCUGUUCUGUUAUCCAUGGUUGCAAUGAAUAAGACGGUAUGAGAAAGAACAAAAUUUUCAUGGCUGAACAGCCAGUGAUAAAGCAUUGGCAUGCUUCAUGCCAACAUGACUACAACCCAUAACAGGAUGAACUGAACAGAAGAACCGGACCGAUCACCGGCAUCUGUGCCGCUGGGAACAUGUGGCAAUGCAGCAUCUGGCAUGUCGAUUUAGGUCUGUUUGCCCCGUCAGUGGUUACGCUUGUGGACCUCCACGCUGCCUGCCGAUGCCAGGUUCGCGGCUCGGUUGCUGCCAAAGUUCUUGCGGUUUGAUUCCCUUGCUAUUCUUGAACCAAACUGCACAAAGCAUCAGAUGGAUUGUAAGUGAGGACACAUAUUGUUGUCUACAACUCCCUACGGUCCAUAUUACUUGUCGCUCAUCCGGAUGUAUCUAGAAUUGAAAUACGUCUAGAUACAUCCGUUUGAGCGACAAGUAUUAUGGAUCGGAGGGAGUACAAUCCAAAUAGUGUAACUUAUCAACACACAACACUACAACUAUUCUACUGAAGGAAACAAAUGGUUAUAAAUUAUGUACCUGGAUUGCUCGCUUUGGCAAAAAAGCAGCUUCUUGUAGACCCAGCAGCUUUGCAACCUGCAACAGUGUCACAUUAUUGAAUCAGCAAAAGGGGAUGGAGAUCAGAACAUAGUCUGUAACAACUUAAAUAUAGGUAGAGUUAAGAAAAACGGAAUGCAAACCUCUCUCAGAAUCUUCUUAUCACCCUUCCCCACGGGCUCAUCAAGUUUAGCGAUAUCCCAUAGUGGGAUUUCCAACAAUGUUCUGAUCACACUCUCAUCAAGAAAUGGAAAACGAGCCUGUCAUGGGCACAUGGGUACACAUCAGCCACUAAAAGCCUAUAGCCAAAGCUGAACUAAAAAAGCAUGACGAAGAUUACCUCCUUGCCAUGGUCAGAAAUGCACCUAUCAUCUCUUCCCAUGUUUCUUUUCCAAAUUCUUUGCACAUCUAGUCUCAUUUCCUCGUCCAGUGAAACCCAUCUAAAUAGGGGUACAAAAAAUGAAUUUAAUUUGUUUUUGCAAUAUCUGCAAAAAUAUCUCAAACGACAGUCACAUUAUUUAGCAAUGCAGUGCACUAAAUCAAUGCAUACAUACCCUCCAACUCUAUAUUUAGUACGAUGUCUACCAUAACCAGCACACUGCUCAUCAGCUCCAGAACCGACUAAAAGGACUCUAGAUGUUGACUUGUGUUUGUAGCGAUCACCAUCUUGCCCAUUCACCCAACCAUCCCCGCUAGCAGCUAACCAUAGGGCUACACCAAUGUUCAAAUCCUGUGCAAAAGAUCCAGCAUUUUAACUCAAAUAAAUCUAACAGGAGCAAAAGAGCAUAGUAAAGAUUUACCAACAGUCCAUCAUAUUUUCAAAUUAAACAGAUAUGUGUGAAUGAAUAGAGCUGCAGUGCUAAAUAUUAUCUUCUAUUGUCCAGUACGUGGUGCACACACAUGAAGACGAUUGUGUCAUAUGACGGAACUAUGGUGAACUGUGGUCUCAAGGAUGCCAAAGGGUGUUCAGAUUUCUACUCCCAUCAGUCCACCACUGAUCUUACUGCAGCCUCUUACACAUAAUCUCCCACAGAACCACUAGGAAGACACAACCACCAUAACAAACGCACAUAAUAACCAGGUAUUUUUAUAAGUAAAUAAAAACUUGGUUAGAAGGGAUGGGGAAUUCAGGGGGUCGGGAGUUGAUGGGCAUGCGGAUGUAAGUGAGAUGAGUACUGGAAGUUUAACGGUCCAAAUGUGCAUCGUUGCUCAAAGAAUGUUUAAUAAAUCUUAGUGUUUCAUCAUAAAUUGGGAUGUCUUAAAACUACAAAUCAAAUUCCUCAAGAGUUUCUCGUCUAUUGCAAAACAGGGUACCAGGACUAAAAGCAAACACCCAUUUCAAAUCCUACCUUAAACUUCCUCCUCUAAACUCCAUCUCCCAAUUACUCCCUCCGGUCCUUUUUACCUUGCGCAUAACACAAAGCCCGGAUACCAAGGAGAGGCAGCCAUGCAAAAAACUGGACAAUUUUACCCCCACAACAGUGUGAUCUGUGUAUACGGAUACCCUGCUGAAAAAUAACUGCAGACGCUUUGAUUGGCUGUCCUCCUUUGACUCCUCAUAGCGCAGGCCCCUGCAUGCAUGCUCUGCAUGCCAAUUGGUUACUGACAGGUGCUAAUUAAGGGAUGGGAUGGAAAGGGCAGUGGCAUGGAUGGAAAGACUAGCUGCGGUGGCUUAGUACGCAGACUAUUAAGGGAAAAAUUGAAAAAAUUUAUACGCAGACUAUUGAGGACCGGAGGGAGUAUUAACAAACAGGUAUAGUCAAUUAGACCAGACUAAACUCUUAUCUUUUAUUAUAUACCAAAUGUGAUCCCAAAAGAAAAGAUGGUCUCGAGUCUUGACGUUUGGUAUUGUCAUAUGCAAAGAAAAAAAAGAUGCAUGAUUCGAAGUUUACAGCACCAUUCCAAAAUCCAAAUCCAAGAUGAAUUAAAUCAAGUGACACUGCAUGGAUGACUCGAUCGUUCAUAUGUUGUUUGGCCUUCAGCCUUGUAAACCAAGGAAACUAACCUAAUGAAGCAUUAGUAGGAUAUAAGAAGAUACACACCAUAUAUGUAUUUGAAGGGUAUAUCAGUGACAUCACGUGUUCACUUUCCUCUUUCAAGUUGGCCAAAUUACUGUCAAUCUCAACAAGACGCCAUCUGCAAAUAAGACAGUGAAAUGAAUAUCAUAGUGAACACUUCAUUUAGUAUUAGUCUGACACUCUGAUACAAAUUUCUUUUUACAUGGCCAGACCAAUGCAUGAGCAUAAUAUGCUAGCAUGGUAAAAUAAAAAUGCAGGACAAAAAAAGUUAAUCGAUAAGUGAACGAUGCAUCACAAGGAUACAGUAUCAAUCACUCCAAUUAAAGCAACAGAACAUUUACAGUGAAUGAUGGGCAUGAACGAGGAACUAAGAAAGCACAACUGUAAAAUAAUGCAAGACGCAGAUGACAGAUUAUGCACAUUAGAGCAUAUUGAUCAUCUGAUGGAUAGAAGGCUUGCAAAGUAAACAACAUAAGGUUCAUCAUGUAUGAGGAAUUCAUUAGGCUAUAGCACAAGUGCCAGAAUUUGAGUCCAGAAUUCAUUUUGCACAGAAACAUGAUGAAAGUACUGUCUGUCUUUUGAUAUGUGCAAACCAGCAACAAUACAAAAUCAUCUAUGUUCAGCACCAGAUACAAGCCAUCAAGGCAAAGAAUAUGGAAAGUUCACGUCAAAUCACCUCCGCAGAGGGGAGAUUCUCUGAAGCUCCUUCAGUCCUGCCAGUGAAGAAACUCUAUCUGGAGCUAGCUGCCCAUCAAAACUGACAUUCAGCAAAUCAAUUGUCCCUGCGCAAAAUCUUAGUUAGCUUUCCUCAAAAACCAAAGUUUGUGGUGUACUAUGUAGCAGCUAACUUCCAUGCUAUUAUGUUAAAAAGAAGAUAGUGAUGAAUAAAAUGUAGUAGGAACACACUUGAACAUACAUUUGGAAUCAAGGCACUGGUCUAAUAAUGCUGGAAGUAUCAUGGAGUCCAGGCCACCAGAGAAAAGGAUUGCUAUCGGGGCCAACUCCGCUUCCUCGAGUUUAUUCAGAUCACCCUGUCCACAACAAGGACUCUGUAAAGUUGGCCUGAUAGACUAGUAACAGAAAAUGCAACAUGAAAAAGGUAGCAGCAUUUUCCUUCCAAGAAAGAAGAUAGAACCAUUUCAAUGAAGGUCUCAAAACACUGGUGGAGUUGUAAAAAAAGAAGGCAAUAUUACGAAUAUGUUGGUUACUCACCUGAUACAGUAUGUUCACAUUGGUUCGCAGCAUUACAGAUUCCCUUAGUGCAAUUAAUACUCUAUGUGCUGAAACAUGAUAGAAAAGUCUCACCAUUAGUAACUUCGUAAAGUUAAAAUAUCUCGGGUAAUUUUUAGCAAACAUCUGAUGCACCUGACUGUAUACCUGGAGAUAAGCAAAUAUCUGAUGGGAGAUCUCUUUUCUCAAACCCAUUACUUGUACUGUCUUCAGCUUCUCUAGAGUUUCUGAAACACGACGACAAGUGAUGGUUCCCUUUGUCAACCGAACCCAUAGCCGAAAUCAACCCAUCCACAGUAGGAACUGUCGAUUUUCUCUCCCAUCGUAUUAAAGUAUGCAACGAAGAAUCCGUCCAAUCAUGUUUUCUAACUACACAUCCUUCCUUCGUACAUGCGGCAUUAUUAUCAAGGUCUUUCAGGUGAAUGCUGUAUAUCCCACAAGGAAGCUCUUCCCAGUAGCAAACUUUGGUGUGGUCAGAAAAAUCAGGGUCUGCUCCUGCCUCCAAACCACUUACUUUUGUUGCUGCAAGAGUGAAGAAGAGUAUAUAUGAGAAUGGACAUGCACAAUUAGAUAUGAGUUACAACAUUGAAAGCAUGUACAAAUUCAGAAACAUCACAGUUUAUUUUCAGUUCAGGAAUGUUUUCACCUUUUGAAAAAGAUGAUGAACAAACCAUUGAUAAGAUACUAAGAUAGAUACAUCAACUCACGCUUAUCUUACCAGAGUUAUUCCUUGAAAACGAAGGGGGUGAUACUGAUGAUAAUAUAAAGCGUGAAUCAUCAGGAGUGGGCCAAUGUACCAACAGGCUUCUUCUCCCAAAUGCAUCCCGGCCAAACCACAAUGUUUUUGAGUCUGUCUGGAAGUUCAAUGCGACAUUGAUGUUAGGAAACAGAGUCUACAAUGAAAUGAAAACAAGCCAAACAUCACAAUUACCUGCCUGCCAAUAUAUCAAAGCCCAUGGUCCUUUAAUAGUGGAGAGGAUCCGUGGAACUGAUUUCCCUACGCUCUCACGGCAAGGGUAUGCUUCAUCUCUAUCAGCAACAUGGAGGUCACAGCAACAGCAAGAUUCCAGUGAAGACAAGAGCGAUUGUGUAUCAUUCUGAUCAUUGGCAAUGUUAAUUCCUCCAUAUAUCUCACCUUAUAAUGAAAAUAAUAAGAGCAGUGUGAAUUUUCAUGUAACGUAAUAACUCAGGUCCUUAGAUACUUGGAUUAAAGGAAAGCAACAAUAAUAUGCCAUUGAUACAUCGAUGUGUGAUUUUAACUGAACCAUCAGAAGCAUUUCCUGUGUACUGAAGUCAGAUAUAUGUGAAUCAUGCAAAAGGGAUUACGGUUGCUGUUGAAUGUAAAUCUGAUCAACAAACCAUUUAAGAAACAUAAUCAACUAAAUAUGUAACUGAAUAUGGUGGAACUUGUUAUAAGCACUACCAAAAAUGUGUAUGUCCCAGUAUACAACAGCAUAUAUGAAACAUAUCAGAAGACAUCGAUUUGUAAGGAAAAGAAAAAGGAAAACAAUACUGUCUUUUUAGUUUAUAAAAGCAUUACCAUUAUACACUAGAACACUUCCUGAUUGCGCCACCAGUGGCUGCGAAACCGGCUCAGCUCCCCUGAGCUGCAGUGUCGCGCCAAUGAAGCACAACUCCGUGGCACCAACACCACCACCAACCUUAUCUCCACCGUCACAAUCUACGCCAUCUGCAACACACAACAGUCGUCAUAAGAGAUGGUCAAAGCGACCAAAACUCCAAAGCAUUACAAAACAUCAGUGAGGGAACCACCACCUGUAGCACCUACGAUGGUGCCGUCCGCGCAAAGGUGGAACCUAUGGCAUCCAAGGCUGUCCGGGCCUCGCCGCCGCAGGGCCUCCUUGAGCUCACCCACGGACACGCCCUUCCCCUGCACUCACAUGUACAGCUUGGCUCGAUUAGGGUUUAGGGUCUGGGAAACCACAACGGGGAGGGAUUUAACUCUGCUUUGGUAGGUUUUAACGGAUACUAGUGACAGUACCUCGUCGGAGAACGGUGUUCCGGAUGCAGCGGCUUCGGCGGCGGCGGCGGUGGAGGGGGCGACGACUAGGCAGUCGCCGGAUAGGACGAGGGCUAUGCCGCACAUCGCUGACUUCGGGACCCGCUUGCCAGUGGGGCGCAAUCGCACGCUCCGGCGCCGUGCAUAACCAUUUUUUUCUCUUUUUUUAGGGUACCUCUUUUUUUCUUUUUGAUUGAGAGAAGACGGCGACGUGCAUAACCGGUUUCGCAGCACGAGGCCUUGGGUUUGGUUGAGGGCUUGGGCCCAACAAAGUGUGUGUUCGGUUUCUUUUUUACUCACCAAGCAUAAGGAAUAUUUUGGAAAGAUGAAAUAAAAGUUGAAGUUAUCGGUUAUUCGGAAUAUCACAUUGAUGUUACGAUCAAAGACCUCGCCGAAACACAGUUCAGGGCCACCUUUGUCUAUGGAGAGGCCCAGGUGAAUGAGCGUUACAAGACUUGGAACAUGCUUCGUGGCAUAGUGGGGGUCAGCAACCUACCAUGGGUGGCCAUUGGCGACUUUAACGAAGUCCUCCACGCGCAUGAGCACGAUGGAGUCGGUCAGAGAAGUCAAGCUCAGAUGGAUGCAUUCCGGGACACACUUGACACAUGUGGUCUGUCAGAUAUUGGCUAGUCAGGCUCCAACUGGACAUUCGAAAAGAAAGUAGCCGGAGGCACAUACACCAGAGUGAGACUAGAUAGAGGGGUCGCUACUUCAGAAUGGCUCUUGGCCUUCCCCACAGCCGAAGUAGAACACAAGCAGGCGGCUACAUCAGAUCACGUACCGAUUUUGCUCCGGUUGCAAGACGUGCAUGCAUGCAGGAGGGCCCCGCGGAUAUUUAGAUAUGAGCAAUGCUGGGAGCGAGACCCCACGCUCAAUAAUGCAGUGAGUGCUAGGUGGGCUAGAAGCCAAGGAGACACAGUGGAAGCACUGAAUACAAAACUGCAGAACCUCUCUGGCGAUCUGGGAGAUUGGGAACGCAGCCACUUUGGGAACAUCCGCCAGGAGAUCAACUGUUUAAAAAAGCAGCUGCAAGUUUUGCGCGAGAUCCAAGGGCGAUCUGGGCCAUCGCAUGCAGAGGUUAAAGUGAUGGAUAGACUGGUAGAGUUAUACCACCGCGAGGAGAUAUUAUGGCGUCAGAGAGCUAGACUGGACUGGCUAGUACACGGAGACAAGAACACUUACUUUUUUCAUUUACGAGCCAGCCGGAAGAGACGUAAAAACCAGAUUAAAGCUCUGUUACGCCCAGAUGGAGAGAUGACAGAAGAUACCAUCCAGAUGGAAGCCCUGACAAACACUUUUUAUAAAGAUCUCCAUACGUCUGAAGGUGUCCAAAACAUGCAGCAGGUGCUCGAUACAGUUCCAUGCAAGGUCACUCCGGAGAUGAACGACAUGUUAAAUGCACCAUACACACAGGCAGAGGUCAAAACGACACUGUUCCAAAUGUUCCCGACAAAAGCACCUGGCCCGGAUGGUUUUCCAGCGCAUUUCUUCCAGCGGCACUGGGAGGUAUGUGGCGAUGAAGUGACACAAGUGGUCCUUAAAAUAGUGGAGGGGAAGGAGUCGGCUGAAUGCAUCAAUGAGACCAUAUUGGUUCUGAUUCCGAAGGUAAAGAAUCCAACUAUGCUGACCCAAUUCCGCCCUAUUAGCUUAUGCAAUGUUUUAUAUAAAAUUGCUUCGAAGGUAAUAUCUAACCGCCUGAAGGUAGUGUUACCUGAUAUAAUAUCAGAAGAGCAGUCUGCUUUUGUGCCAGGGAGAUUAAUAACGGAUAAUAUCAUCACGGCUUAUGAGUGUUUGCAUUUCAUGAAGAGGAAUAAGGCGAAGAAACAUCAAUCAUGUGCUCUGAAGCUAGACAUGAUGAAGGCCUAUGACAGGGUUGAAUGGUCCUACCUGCAAGCUAUAAUGCUCAAGCUAGGCUUUACGGACAGAUGGGUACAAAUAGUCAUGAGUCUUGUCUCUUCGGUGAAAUUUUCAGUAAUGUUCAAUGGCAAGAGACUAGAGGAAUUCAACCCUACCAGAGGUAUAAGACAAGGGGACCCGAUCUCUCCAUACUUGUUUUUGUUGGCAGCAGAGGGCCUUUCGUGCCUCCUAAAAUCUAGAAGUGAGUCAUCCAAUUUGCAAGGUUUACAAGUGGCACCCUCGACGCCUUCGGUGAACCAUCUUUUAUUUGCUGAUGACAGCCUGCUGUUUUUCAAGGCAAAUGGUAUGGGAGCAACCGAGGUGAACCUCGUCUUGGACAUCUAUUGUCAAGCUACAGGUCAGAGGAUAAAUUACUCCAAAUCAUCUAUUUUUUCAGUAAGGGAGUUCCCGAUGGGACAAGACAGGAGAUCAAAACGUUGCUACACGUUCCAAAUGAGACUCUCAAUGAAAAAUACUUGGGUAUGCCAUCUGAUAUUGGUUCUUCAAAGAACGGGUCGUUCAAAUAUUUUGAAGGAUCGAUUAUGGAGUAAAAUUCAGGGUUGGAUUGAAAAUACCAUGUCAGCGGCCGGUAAGGAGGUGUUGGUGAAAGCGGUUGCCCAGGCUGUUCCUGUAUAUUCUAUGUCAUGCUUUAAGCUUCCGAGGGGCCUUUGUGAACACCUCAACAUGCUUAUCAGGAAGUUUUGGUGGGGUUCCAAACAGGGACAACGGAAACCACAUUGGGUGUCUUGGAAAACAAUGACGCAACCAAAGAGCAUGGGGGGUCUCUGCUUUAAAGACUUUGAGCUUUUUAACAUGGCUAUGCUUGCUAGGCAAGCCUAGCGACUACUACAAAACCCGGAAUCGCUUAGUGCCAGAAUUCUAAAGUGCAUCUACUACCCAAACACAACAAUACUUGAAGCGGUCCUAGGAAACCACCCGAGUCAAAUUUGGAGGGCAAUGAUAGAAGGAAGAGAUACGCUCAAACUGGGUUUGAUUAAGAGGAUUGGCAAUGGAGGUGACACGAGGAUCUGGGAAGAUCAAUGGCUGCCACGGGGCGAGAUGAUGCGCCCCUAUGGAUGUAUAUCACAGAAUCCGCCCCCCCUUGUUUCGGAGUUGAUUGACUCAACGUCAGCCAAGUGGAACACACAAAAAGUUAAUGAGUUCUUCAUGCCUAUGGAUGCGAAGAUCAUACUACAAAUCCCCAUAUGCACAAGAAACAUCCCCGAUUUCUGGAGCUGGUUUUUUGACAAGAAAGGAAACUUUACAUUUCGUUCAGCAUAUAACAUGCUCGUGGCAAUCCGGCAGAGAAGGGAAGCCUGGCUCGAGGGGUAUGCCGGCCCGUCUAACUCGGCCAAAGAGGAGAAGGAGUGGAAGUUGCUGUGGAAGACGGCGGUCCCUGGAAAAGUCAGAAUGUUCCUUUGGCGUUUAUCACAGCACUCAAUACCCACAAAUGAUGUAAGAGCACACAGGCACAUGUCGGACUCCAGUGCAUGCGGAAUAUGCGGGGCGCCAGAUUCAUGGAAGCACUCUCUAGUCGAUUGCACCAUGUCAAGGUGUACGUGGGCACUAGUUGAUGAAGAACUCGGACAGCAAAUAGCAGCCACCUCUGAACCCAAUGCGAAACAAUGGUUAUUCACACACAUGCAGUCAUUAUCUCAUCCGCUGUUCGUAAAACUUGCGGUCACGCUAUGGGCAAUCUGGGCGGCUAGGAGAAAGGCCAUCCAUGAGGGUAUUUUCCAAAGCCCCCAUGCUAUACACUCUUUUGUGGUCCGAUUUAUUCAGGAGCUGGAGAUGAUUCGGGAAGAAGGAGGAAGAGAGGUUCGGGCCAACCCAGCAGCUCGCACUACUACAGCAAGAAGGCCAAAAGCUCCACCACAUGGCCACUGCAAGAUACACGUCGAUGCCGGGGUGCGACCGGGUCAAAGAGGAGUGGCAGUAGCAGUCUGCCGGGAUAGCGACGGGAACUACUUGGGGAGCUCAGCCCUGUCAAUUCACGGUCUCCACGACCCUGCUACUUUGGAGGUCAUCGCAUGUAGAGAGGCUCUCGCUCUUGCUUCGGACCUGAACGUCCAUCAAUUUGUCAUUUCCUCUGAUUCUAAACAAGCCAUCGGCGACAUCAAUGGGGGAGCUAUGGGAGACUACAGGGCUAUUAUCAAGGAGAUAAAGCUUCAAGCUUCAACUUUUACUUGUUCUUUCAUUUACGAAAGUGCUGCUAUCAAUUUUGAAGCACAUAGUUUAGCCAAAUAUGUACUUAAUCUCGGUCAGGGGCGCCAUGUGUGGUUUGGCCAACCCCAUGAUCCGAACCGUAUCCCACUCCAUGUGGCUUUUGAUGAAUAAAGUUUGGCUAAACCCUCAAAAAAAACCAAGCAUAAGGACAUCUCCAAGGUUGCGAAAUCACUAAUUAAGGAGUACUAGUAGAGUGCCCGUGCGUUGCCACGGGCUCUUGAAAUAGUUUACAAGAAUUACAUGUUCAAUUUCACACGUACAAACAAAUAUAACCCAAACACAAUUAUUGAAUAAUUGAAGUCCAUUUUUGCAAUAUAAAUUGAUAACAAAAAGAAAGAUUAACGACUUGUCCAUGUAACAAACUGAGCGAUGUUCGACCAUAACAUCUAUUACAAAAUUAUCAAUAUCUAGAUGAUGUGCUUAAAAAAUUCUUUCACAAUAUCAGAAAAGUUGUCUUUAGCUUCAUUCGCACGAUGUUUUAGUAAGUAUAAUAAAAAUUGUUUCCUCAACUCAUAUCCAUCCUGCACAAACAAUAUAUGUAGUUAGUAUAAAAUUUUUACGCUGAAGGUCCUAAAACAUGUAACAGACAAUACUCACCCCGCAAACCGGCUUGACCAAUUCUUUACCGUUCCACCGGAGCAUAAAAUGAAAAACGAAAUAGCCAGACACAUUCCUGCAAUUUUUUAAAUUAAUAAUAUAAAGAAUAUAGUGAUAACAAAAAUAAAUGUUUUUAUUAUGAAUUCAUUACCCGUCUAUUCUCAUUGAAAUACCAAACGAAAAUAAAUGUUGUCAUUUAGAUAAAUCGGAAUUCCAACCAGGCCGCUUUAUUUCAUGUGCUUCUUUGAAAUCCCUUGCAAAACUUCUAAAUUUCAGUGCAUGCCUUCCUCUAACGAUUGUGAUGUUUGAAUAGGCUCCAUAAUAUAUAGACGACGUGCCUCUUUGUCGAUGACGUAUAAGAUGUAUCGGCCGAUAGAUGCAUAGGGAAGAUAAAUCUACAAGUGGAGCUGUUAGAAACAAUAAUAAACCAUGAUCCCCCGCAAAAAAAACAAUAAACGAUGAUAACAAUAGACAAAAUACUUUACUUAUUAUGUUACACGAUGAGAUGUCGUUGUCUAUCCCAGGCCAACUAUCAAAUAAUGGUGCCAACGUCUGGAUAGUUUUCUUCUCGCAAAACUUCUGACCUCGUGUUGACUGUAGCAUCAUGGACUAAGUAAAAAAAGAAAUAUUCUUUCAACAUGUUGAUACUAAUGCUACAUGCAAUGAAGAGUUGCGAUAACUUACACAAAAUCUUAGAUCCAUAUAGUGUAUAGGAGGGUCUUUGAACAAUACUCUCUCGUCAUAUGCCAGUAUACACACGACGGUGUUGAAGCAAUCAUUGUCUAUAGGCUGCUCCAUGUUAAGUAUGCACUGAAGUUUCUUAAGACUUAAGCCCAUUGGAUGGGGUGUCGAGCUCCGGACCCAUUACUUCCUAAAAAUUGGAUGGUAAGAAGAAUAAUAAUGUACAUGCGCACAUUAAAUAUUGAUACAUGAAACUUACUCCAAACACCCGACAUCAUCGAUCGACAUGAUGUAGUUGCAGAGGCCGGCAAGUAAUUCAUGUUAGUCCGUGGGUAUGAUAGUAAUUGGGGUAAGACGUUUGUCUUUGACUACGUCAGAUGGAUUCUCGAGGAUCUCGAGAUCAUCAUUAGCUAAAGUUUCUUCAUCGUCCGGUUGAUGGUACAUGGGACCUCCUUUUAGCUUAUUCAGCUAGACAACUAAUUUUCGUCGAAAGUGUUUCAUAUCUUCCUACAAAAAAUAUAUAUAUAUAUAUAUAUUGAUAUAAUAUUUUGAGAUAAAAUAAUGAGAUAAUGUAUAAAAAUAAAAUACCUGGAUGAACUGGUCUGAUAGUGCAUCUGAUGUCCAAUAUUCCAUAUAAUUUAGCAUAAACAGUCCACAUGAUACGCUAUAAUAUUAUAAAAUAAUGCUUUAGAAUAUCACCCAGACGAACCAAAUAACCAAACCGUUGUAACAAGUGCUUACCCAUCAGUUUGUAUUACCUCAUAAAACUGCUCUACGACCGUCCAUUUUGUAACAUUGAGAUCGGGCCACUUAUGAUCUUUGUUAAACUCCGGACUAUGCUCUAGUAACUAUUUUAUAUAUGAAAAAUAUUAGGGAUUAAGAUCAAACAAAACAUAUGUUAAGAUAAGAAAAAACAAUAGAUGGUUACCGUAGUAGCAAGGUCAUUGUGUUUGACCCAAGAACCAAGUGAGUCAAAUACUUGAAUCUCACGUUUUUCGCAUUGGCGACUGCUAUUAUCCAAUGGUAGCCCAGAAUGUUAAUCGGAAGGAAUAACUGUUGUAAAUAUCAUACAAGUCGGAGUCAUAAUUAGAUAUAAAUAUUAAUAAAUCAUUAUACAUAUGAAUUAAAUAAAAACAAUCCAUAAUUAUAUGCAUGGAUAACGAGACAAGACUAACCAUAAGUUGAUGUAGAUAAGUAUUAACAUGAUGUAUGAUGUGACGAUAUUUUGAUGGGUCUAUAUUUUUUUUCGUAUUCUUUUAUCUGGCCAAAUACGAACAUGUUAAUAAUGUGUACCUUUUCACCCGCUACAAUGCAUAUAAAUAAAUCAAACACAGAUAUCAAACGGGGCGCCCGGUAGGCUUCCUAAAAUUCAUCCAUGUGGAUAGUCCGAACUCCCUCGAAUAGUGGCAGCGACAAUACCAUAGAGUAAAGAAUCUCAUCUCUCUCUCACACACACUUUUUUUUGUCAAACAUCUCUCUCCCAUUGGGAUCUCUCUCACACACACUCCCUUCUUUAUGUAUCAGUAGCAGCGGCAUGAACAUUAACAGUAGUGUAGCAGCAACGACACGUAUAUCAACAGUAGUGUAGUAGAAGUGCCGCCCCUAUGCACGGGCCGUCUCCCUGCCCUUCCCCGCUUGAGCGACGCUAUCCCCUACCUUUCCCGCCACAUUUGCUUGGCAUUGUGCUCCCUCUGCUUUCCCUUCUAUCUAGCUCAUAAAUAAUAGCAAAGGAUAUAGGAUUUAGAAUGCUUAAGGUCUAAAAUACUUUAAUCUCUACCAACUGGAGGCACAGAUAACUACAUUUAAAAGCAAGCACAGAUAACUACAUUUAAAAGCAGGAACAUAUGCUAUCUUCAUCAGUAAGUAAAGAGUAAAAAAGCAGAGGACCAAAACCAAAUAAUUAGGCAUGAAUGUUAUAGGUCAUUUAAAGGCACAAUGAAAAUGUUGCAAACCAUUGUACUGCUACCACUUACAAAAUUUUAACAACAAUUCUCAACUCCGCCAGCAUGCAGUAUAUUUAUUACUAUAGGAGACUGGAUACAAAUUUCUUUGUAAAGGGUUUCAUACACUCUUGUUAAUGUGUAAGUACAUCAAACAUGUUUGAACAAGCAGGAAUGAUGAGGUAAAAUCAAACCAUGGAUAUCAGACUACCAACUCCUCUUUAAUAGUAGAGAUAAUUCUGAUGCACAUGAGACGGUGUCAUUAUUUGUUUACCCGUUAAAUCUCUUUUCCUGUUGUUCCUCCUCUAUCCACUAUCUCCCCCUCUCUUAUCCAAACUUAUCACCACUAUCAAUGGUGCAACCAGCUCUGACCACACCACAUUAAAUAGAUUCACUUAAGCAAACAAACAAAUUUGGUUUCUAAAUAACACUACUUAUUGGGAAUGUUGUCCGUAUGUUCCAUUUUAACCAGGAAGAAGUGAUAUGUUGUUGUCUUAAAUCCACAUUACCCUACAAGCACUAACCACAUAAUUUGUGGGUUCCUUUCCCAUAGGAUCAUUACUUUCUCAGAGGAUCAUUAGAUAUAUGUAGUAUCUUACAACUAAGAAUGAAAAAGUUAGGGUAAGGACAACAUAACAAGUUGAAACACGGACGCAUCAAGAGUUUGGUAAAGCAAGACACCAUUUUAUUUCAGAUUGAGCCUCAUAAUGGAAUUUAAAAACUUCCAUGAAACUUGAGCAUUGUAUGCUCUUGUCCACGAAGAGAGAUAUAGCCUUAUAGCACCAGCAUGCCUGUCUAUGUUACUCCUCAAGCCAAACUAUAGAACUUUUAUCUGUCGACAACCUGUCCAAAGACACUGGCUAAUUACCCACAAACUGUCCAUUCCGCCACAAAUAUGCACAGGCAUGCAUCACCUUCCUCUUUGGUCUUCUCAUUCGCGUGAACAUCGUCGACAUUGCCCACCAUGCUUGCUCGCAUCUACUUGCUCCUUGUCAAGUACAUCCACGCUUCCAACUCUCACCUCAUCACCAUGCUCGUUGAUGCAUAUGUCAAGUCCAGCCUCGUCACACAUGUGGGUGUACAAUUUUCGUCUGACACAUGAAUGGCCAUUGCCACGCCCUUCCUUCUCGUUUGUUACGCC